GAGAACUGUCUCUCUCAGAGGCUGCCUUCUGACCUCCACAUGCGCACUGUGGCACUCCCCCACACAUAGGCACAUGCACUAAGUAAAUAAAACGUAAUAUAAUCUUAAAAAAAAGCAAGUUGGCAGUGCCAGGCCAAUGGGGAAAAGGGGAGGGAAGGAGAGUCCAAAGUUCAAAAGACUGAAAUCUGCCCUGUGCUGAUAGUGGAGCUAUGUGAGGACCAAAUCCCACAGGUACUAGGCUUGAGUGCCCUUAAAGGUGCCCAGGUGAAAAGCUUUAGACUAAGCAUGCGACCCUGGGGCAAGAUGACAUCACAGAAGGCUUAGGCGGGAGGAGCAGGAACUCAAGACCAGCCUAGGUUACACAGCAAAAUCUCCCAAAGAGCAUGUGCUGGGUGGGAGUCCUCCCCGCCCUGGGGAGAUCUCCAAAGAUGGGGUUCCCAGCAUCCUCUCCUUCCUACCAGCCGGCCUCAGGAAUCUGCUUUCAGCGCUGACCUUCCAUCUCUGGUACUUCUGAGAACACUCAUCUGGGCACAGAACCCUAGGUCACGCAGCCUUCCUCUAAGCUGUAAGCUUGGUCUCUAGGGCCUAGUAAAUUUGGUCCAAAUGUCCCUGCCGAGAACAUGACCAAGAAGCCUCAAUUUUCCUGUCUCUAACACACAAACUGUAGAGUUUUCUGAAUGAGCAGCUGGGAGAAUUUGAAGUAGCACUGUAAAGUUAGUAGAACUUGAGCAUUUAACACAUAUUUGUAAGUGUUGGUGUUUGCACAGUUCUUUGGCCAUUCCUACCCCAACACUUAACAAAAAAGAAAGUGAGUGAGUACAGGUAGCGAGUAGACAGGAGUUCUCCACAGAGAAGUAUGGCAUGGUCCUGCCAUGCAUUUGAGAUUUUCCCGACCUAGGCACCUCCUUGCUCUUCCACCCAGU